CAAAUAUUCCAAUAAUUAAUUUUGACUUAAGCUAACCACUGGCAGAUUUUAUGUAAAACUACGUUAUAUACAUUCAUAUAUACAUGAAUUUUAAACAAGCGACAGAGCAUAGUACUGGGAAUAUAUUUAAAAGAUGAAACCACUUAUGUGUUGUUUAGUUGUUACAUUAUUUAUUCAUAAUUAUGCAGGAGCGUCAACUAUAAGAUGUUACAGCUGUGAGUCAUGCGAUGAUCCUUUUAAUAAAACUGCAGUUAAUGUAUCGAAUGUGACUUGUUCUGGUUCUUGCUAUAAGUCAAACAAAGAAGGUUGGAUUUCAAGAGGUUGUUCAACUAUUACUCUAGUAUCAGUAUGUCCACAUGAUGAACAACUUGAAGUAUGUGCAUGCAACACGUGUCUAUGUAACACGUCUCAAGGAAAACACACAUUUUUUGUUGGACUUUAUAUUGCGAGCAUUAUCUGUUUCCUUUCACAAACUUUCGAUAGAUAUCAUAAUUGACGUUUUUCAUAUUGAUUAUCGUUUGCUUUUAACAGGUCUUUAGAUAUACAUUAUGACGAAAGGUUAUUUUAAACAUUCGCCAUUACCAGCGAAAAGUACUUCCAAAUGUUUUUAAUUGUUCACCAUACAGUUAUAGACAAACACGUGUACAAAAUUCUAAAUGAGAUUAUUGUUCAUGACUAUCUUGGGAUAAAAAUGGCUGAUUUCCCUUGUGCAGUUUAGCUUGCUAGUAAAACUUAUAUUCUAAAUAAUAAACAAAACAAAAACAUAAUAUUAAUUUUGAAUGUGCACGUGUCUAUGU